CAAACAUUGACCACUAUAAUGGUUGCUUAAAAAUUUUGGUUUUCUCCUUUGGUGAUUCUGCUUGUUAACAUCAGGUGUCUUCAAUAAUGAUCAAUCAUCACUUUGUUAAUCACCUAAUUAUAUCAUUACCUUCAACACUGCUUCAGUGUUUAUAUGUGUCCACACUCAGAGUGUUAAAUUAACACUGGGGAUUUUGCUGUCUAUGUUUGGAGAAGGUUCUUACAACAUAAAUUUGUUAUCUGGGUGUGCACUCAUACUGUGAGCUCAUCAUGUGACACCACUGUGAUAGUGUUGAGAAACAGGAAGUAGAAUGUCCCCUGGUGACGGAUAUUUGCAGUGCCUCCUCUCAACCUGCACAACAUUUUGAAUUCACAAUGAGCUCACAUAUUACUCACACUCUUGAGUAUCACACAAUGAGAAUGAUGUGAUGUCACUGUGAACAUCGCAUGAUCUCACGUGUUGACUGGGAAAGACCCUGUUGAAAGGCGGUGCUGGAGCACCAAACUGAAUGCGAUAGCCUCGCUCUACAGUGCACGCACUGUUGUCACCAUUAGAAUUACCUACUGUAGCCAAAGCACAAGAACUGAUUUAACCUCUUUAUUUAACCAACCGAUAUUUAGUGAUGUUCACAGUGAUGUUCAGUGGUAGUAAAGCUCUUAUUUAGGGAUGUAUUAGUGCUGAAGGUGUGAGGGUUUUGUGCUUUAUCAAUGCUGUCACCAAUCCACAAACUACUGUCUGAUGUAAUAAAAAAAGAAAAAGAAAAAAAAAAAAAACAACUGAAACUGAAGAUGCUACCCUUCCCUUUAUUUCCUGCAUUUUUUUAGCAUAACAAUGAAUAUAUUCAUUCUCCCAAGGUGAAUAUCCCUCUGUGGACAGGUAUUUCACCCAAUCUUAACGCGAUUGAGCGGCUGUGGGGAUUCUGUAGAGACGGGCUGAGCAAAACUCUCCAUUAAAGACCAGGGCAUUUAAGGAGGUCGUCCUCCAGGAGUUCAACAGCACAGAUGUGAAAAUUUCCCGUGAACUUGUAUACUUCUGCCAAGAUAACUUAGAGCAGUAUACUUAAAGUUCUGGAGUACAUACUAAGUACUAGAAUAUUAUAUAUUUGCUGAAUUAAAUCUAGGGUGUACUCAUUACUGCAAUCCUUUAUUUAAACAAAAUUGUUUUUAUUUAAAAUAAGUUUCUUUCUGGCUACUUUGUAUAGGUUUCUAUGUAAGUACUGGCACUUCUGAUUGGGCUGAGGCUGGAAUUUAGCAAGUUCUAAGUAAAAGUAUUUGAUGGACGUAUAAUACAGUAUGUGUCAGGAGCACUGUGUUCGCUCAGUAUCAUUAUGUAUCUCAUUUUUGACCGAGAUGGCUUUUAGCUGGUUUUGCAUCUGAACUCUUCAUAUAUAUAUAUAUAUAUAUAUAUAUAUUUGUGUAUUUUUUCCUUCAAAAGUAUUGGAACAGUGAGGCCAAUUCCUUCAGCUUUUCUGUAGACUGAAACAUUAGAAAAGAAAGACCCUAAAACAACUGCUAGUGACAUCAGCAACAACCUCCAGAUAGCAGGAGUAAAGAUUCAGAUUCUGAUUCAGUAGCUAGUGCUCUGGUGGGUUCCACCCAGGAGGAGUAGGAGAUGCUUGAAGAGGGACAAGAAGUUGAGACUGAGCCCUCUUAUUCCUCCUGGAACUCAGAUGCUCGGAUGGGAGCAGCAUGCUCAUAGGUGACCCUCUAAAAUGAGGGGAGGCAACGCUAAGCUCAACAGCUAAUAGGCAAUUCAUCAGGGAGGCGGCAAGCGGCCAAUUAUUUUUUGUUGCCACAGAGCUCAAACGGAGGGCUUGUCUCUUGAUGAGAGAGAAAAACCACAUCUUACCAGCACAUAGUGGUUAAUGCCAUGUCCUAAAGGCAGACCGAAAGGGGAUUCAGAAAUGGGAUCUAGCUUAAAAAGGGAAUCGGACAUUUCAACAGGGUAGUAGACGGGUCUCAUAUAUAGCAGCUGCCAGGCGAAGACCUUUUGGCAACACUGAAUGGUUGCAUACACGGUAGUGACGCUCUCAGCCCCCAGCUGAGGCAGGGUUUUCAUAGCUCAAACUGGGAGCAUUAGGUCUCAGCUUACCCUCAUAUUAGAGGGGAGCAGUUCCUAGCAUGACCAUAAGGUAGCGCAAAUUAGACAGAGCCAGACAAGGCCCAAAAAAGAGAGCUGUUACCAUCACAUAGAAUCUGCAGAGCUAUUGCUCCUCAGAGCCAUAGCAGUCAGAAAGGGUUUCCUCAGAAACACCUCUCACUCGUACCUCAGGAAAGAUAGUGUUCUCAAGCCCACUCCUCAGAGGGGCGUCGAGGGGUCGUCACCACAGUCAGUCAAGAGCAGAGAGGGGUUGUAGAGGUUCCUUCCCUGAAAUAGAGUCGGAGACACAACAACAGACAGGCAGGUCACAGAAAAAGCACUGCAAAGAAAGCCAGUAACCAGAUGCACACAACCUUAUGCUGGAAGAAUAAUAUGGAUCGUACUCACCCAACAUGGCUCCUGCGCAAUGUACAGUGGAGUCUGAAGGAGGCUUGGGUCAGACAUCAGCAGGGUGGUUCUAUGAACAUAGAACCUGCCCAAAACAUCAUCGGAGAGACUGCAGCCUAGAGACUGCAGUAGAAGCACAGGAGGCUCCAACCUAACCUAGUUGGGUGGAAAGAUGGUGAUUUCAGGGAUAUUAGGGGAGGGGAAGAAAGAGGGAAAAUAAAAAUAUAGAGCAUUGAAAACGCCUCGUCUGGAUCGCCUCCCUCAGGUCUUGCCUACCUACAUUUGACUUGUGCCUUCUCCCAGCCCCACCUGGACGCAGGGGAGGGGCAUUUGUCAUGACACUAGCCUUCUGCACCCGCCUCCGAUCCUCAGGCUGGCAUGGGACAGGACCCCUUCGGGCUCAGACCUGGGCCUUCUUGGAGUGAAGGACUUCAAGGCGGCUGAACGUGCCUUCACCUCCAUAAACUUCUCGGCCACCGUCUCAACAGAGGUACCGAAAAGUUCAGAAGACGAAACUGGGGCAUCGGGGCACCCAUCUUUCCAAUAUUCGCCAGGUUCACCCAGAGAUGCCUCUCCGCAACCACCAUGACCACCAUAGAUCUGCCCUCUUAGUAGCACGGAGGGCAAGAACUGUGGUGUGGCGCAGCUCAGUUACCUAAUCAGGGGAAAGACCCUUACCUUUAUCCAGGUCCUUCAGCAGAUCAGCCUGAUAUGCUUAAAGCACCGCCAUGGUGUGCAUUAAAGCCACAGCCUGACGCUGCAUACGCCCUACCAUUCAAACGAGAUGUAUCCUGAAGGGGUUUGGAUGGUAAGGAGGGAGCCUUGAGAGAGGACGUCUCACCGCUAGAGAGAUAGAAUACUAGCAUCUCUUCUAUAGGGGCAUCCUCUCAUACCCAUUUUCAUGCAUCUAGUGUGAUGAAACCUAUUGAUGCAGGAAGAAAACAGGUUUUUCCAUGCCUUCUCGAUCUCCACAUGGAGAUUGGAAAAAAAGGAAGUCAAUUUUACAGCAAGUCAAGCCUUGGUACGUUCCAUAUCCUCCAGCAGCUCAGCAUACACAGGGCAGGAGGGUUAAGAGGGCUCAGUCUCGACUUCUUUGCCCUCUUCAAGCAUGCCCUCUUCAAACUGCCCCCUCGAGGACAUCUUGUGCAUGCUCUUCACCCAAACAAACAGCACAAAGAUCGUGUGUGUCAUCUGGUGUUAGAAAACAAGGACACAGAUCUGCACACUUCUUAUAUGUUUUGCUAGUGUUCACCAAAGGAGAGAAAAUAGCUCUUACUCGCUUCAAACAAAAUAGUCCAUUGAAGACGAAGAAGGGGAUGUUGUGUUCUACUGCCGUCUUUUUAUACUGUGGUCGCGUCGGUAGUGACGUGCCGGAAGUGAUGUCCUAUGCUGUUGCCGGCCAACACUGUUGUAGUUUUGGAUGUAAGCUUUAGACAAGAGUCAGGCUGAAGGCGUUCCCCUAACAAGAGUCUAGAGUAAGGAGAGAGAUGGUCAUUCUACUGCUGACUACUAGAAUGCUGUAACCUCUUUUCUUUUUGUUUGUUACGUUAUCAGAGUGUUUUAUUUUAUGUUUUGUACACGCCCUUUCACAUGUGUGUGAGAAGAGUAUGUUAUAAAGGCUCAUGUAACGAUUGCUUAUAUUUUAUAUUUGCCACCUGCAGACUGUUUUGAGAGCUUAUGUUGACUUUUGGAUGUUUUUUUCCCGUCAUUUUUGGCCUAUGGAUCACUGAACUGUUAAGGGAGAACUGAGGUGAACUGAACUGCAGUGCGCUGCGUUAGAAUAUAAUGGAAAAGACUGUGUUUUUUUGCACAUCAUACACCUGUGCAACGAGUGUCAGUGCAGACUGUUCACGUGUGAUUUGGGGAACGUGAAGAACGUGGUGGAAUUGUUUUUUUCUUCCUUGGUCAUGCAUGCCAGCUGUGUUUGCUGCAGAUGGCUCCCCACGUUUGCCUCCAACUGAGCCCCCGAACACGCCAGUUGACAAUGUUAAUAUGGAACCCGAGGCAGGAAGGAUGGAUGGCUCUGACUGGGCUUUUGAGGAUGGAAGAGUAAACUCUGGUUUUAACCAAAGGGGAAACUUCAGGGGAGGGAGGACAUUCAGACGGUCCAAUCCUCCCUCCAGAAGGUAAUUGUGCCACAUUUUCCUGAUGCUUCCAUAAAUGAUUAGCCUACCUUGUGUCAUAUGGAGGAUGUUGUUUCCCUGUCCCAUUGGAAUACCCUUUUCAAGGUUAAUCUUUAUGGUAAAGCUUUUGACGGUACUCUUGACACUGGUGCUUCCCUAUCGGCAGUGCAAUCGGUGGUGGUCCAGACUAUUUCUGGGGGGGACACAUGAUUAAAGCCAUGGUCUGCACCUCCUAUUCAGCUUGCAGAUGGCACAUCCUGUUGCCCACUGGAUGUCACCUGGUUGUCUUUGGGUUUCAUGGGUCAGCAUUCCUAUCACCGUUUUGCUGUUCUUAAAAGUCUUUCCUCUCCUAUUGUUCUUGGAAUAGACUUCAUGUUGAGAUCUUCAGUCACACUCCAUGUUCCAUCCAGGACUGUGGUGCAUACCGUAUUCUACUCCAGAAAAGGAGUGUUUGGCUGUCAUCUGGACCCUUAGUACGGUACACAUAGGAAACAGCGAAAUACAGCGUUUAAUCUUAAUUACGAAAUGUGUUUUGUAAUGUCAUAUCGUUUAAUAACGAUAUUUAUGUGCUGUAUGUGGUUAAAGUUUUCUCAAAGACAUGUUUAUCCACUCGCGAUGCGGAACAGACCAGAGUCCUGUGUACUCCUAAACUUUUUCUCAGAGAGAUAUUUUCUUUCACUCACAACGCAGAGGAGACAAGUUUUAUCAAGGAAAGCACCGAAAGUAAGUGUUUUAUCUAAGUUGCGAUAUGUAUUUUGUAAGAUAAUAUUACUUUAUGAUGAUAUUUAUAACGUCAUGCUGUUCGCGCCUAAACGAGCCUAAACGUUUCUCACAGAUUUGAAUUGCAAUGCGGUGCUGACGCAGAGGUCGCUAGGGAAACUUAAGGGAGAUAUUUUCUUUCACUCAUGAUGCAGAGCAGACGGGGGAAGUUGGUUUUAUCAAGGAAAACACCUAAAAGAGAUAUUCUUUUACUCGGGAGAUGGUGUGCUUUAAGAGUAUGAAGUCACCAAUACAUUAAGUGGGAUGAGAAGAGCUUUGUUAGGACACAUACCAGAGACAAGGGAGGAGUCCAACCUCAAUGCAGAGAGAGAUCAGUAUGCACUUGGAAUUAUGACUUUGUUUCUGGUGUUAAAAGACUAAUUUUCCACUCUUCUGUCAUUUACAGCCCUGCAGUUUGAUUAUAAAGAAGAUUGAAUCGCCAAGAAUGAGGCUUAUUGUGAUGGUCCAUGGCCUUUCAAGGUGUCUUUAGAGACUGCUGAACACUAAAUUUGGUCACACAUGACAUCCGACUCCUGCAAAUCAUCAAGUCAUGUUCUUCCCAGUGGAGUUGUGCGGCGGCUGCAGUCGGAGUGUGUUCAGUGGACUUCCUGAAUUGUUCAGCGGCUGUACAGAGCUCAAUUUAAUUGCUCCUUGCCUCCAGGAGAAGGUAGAGAGCACACAUUUGAUCUGAGCGGAAAUGAACGCAGCUCUUACGGAUUGUUUAACUUGUACGGAUGAGUAUGGAACGAAUUCCUCCACCUUGGGAUGAAGCUUAUAUAUCAGUGUGAUUCUUCUGCUGGAUGCGAGGCAGAAUGAAAUAGAGUGAAAUUUAUGGUUGCUCUUAAACACACAUCUUUUUUUUGGGUCAAAUCCAUCUGCCCAUCCAUCCAUUCUCAAAACCACUUGUCCUUCGUAUUGGGUCAUGGGCUGUGUAAAAUCUUAUGUAGCAUAUUGAUUUUAUUGGAUCAGAAAGUUCAUACAGACACAAACACUAAAAAUAAUACAAUUGUGAAUUGCUUAUUUCUUUUUUAAUUUCAUGGUGAAAUAUGACCAUGUUCUUGCCAGGUUUAGUGGGGAUUCAUUUGUGCACAUUUAGUACCAGGGACACUGCCCAUUGCAAGUAAUGAUUUCUAAGAUGCUUUGGAAGAACAGUGCCUGCUUAAAAUAAAUAAUGAGUGAAAUCUCACAAACCAAAAUUAAAUAAGAAAUUGAUUAUAUUUGUGAAUGAUGUCUGCUUGUGUUUCUUUGAUGAACCCCUGAGCCAAAUCAUUAAAGUCGGUCAUUGACACAAGCAUGUUCAGUGGACCCUUGCUCAUCUUCACAGUUUGUUAUCCAAGGACCAUGAUGUGGAUGCUGGGAAAUGGCAGUAAAGUAUUGAAUAUCAUGGUCUGUAGCACAAGGGAUUUGUCCUAACAGGUUUAAUUAAACUCUGAAAUGAAUUGGCUGUUUACUCCAGUUCUUGUGAAGGUUAGAAGGACAAUUAGACGGAAGCAUGCUGGCCUGGUCUAUUAAAUUAUUUUUAUUGGACUUAAUUAGAAUACUAAAUAAUUCAGGUUCUUAUACAUAAUGGAUCCGAGUUUGUUCUGAAUGUUCGU